rnacentral:rRNA from 1 species
AUUGAACGCUGGCGGCAUGCCUUACACAUGCAAGUCGAACGGUAACGGGCCUUCGGGUGCCGACGAGUGGCGAACGGGUGAGUAAUGUAUCGGAACGUACCUUUCAGUGGGGGAUAACGUAGCGAAAGUUACGCUAAUACCGCAUAUUCUGUGAGCAGGAAAGCAGGGGAUCGCAAGACCUUGCGCUGAUUGAGCGGCCGAUAUCAGAUUAGCUAGUUGGUGAGGUAAAGGCUCACCAAGGCGACGAUCUGUAGCGGGUCUGAGAGGAUGGUCCCCCACACUGGUACUGAGACACGGACCAGACUCCUACGGGAGGCAGCAGUGAGGAAUAUUGGUCAAUGGGCGGAAGCCUGAACCAGCCAUGCCGCGUGCAGGAAGGAGGCCCUACGGGUUGUAAACUGCUUUUACCCGGGAAGAAACCGCCCCUGUGGGGGCGUUGCCGGUACCGGGGAAAAGGAUCGGCUAACUCCGUG